AGGAAGGGGAGGUGCGUUCUAUAACAACAAACCCGCAGAAGCGCUCUCUGCUGUAACUAGCGGUAAUAGGGAGUGGGGAAUGAGACGCUCUCAGAUGGAUGGACGCCUUUGGGGGCCGCGAACUGGCCAGGCUGCUACUACAACUCAUACCGAGGUUACAUGGAUGUAAAUCGUUCUGCCAGUAAUCCGUCUGGAUAGUGCAUAUAGCAUGGCAUCAGCAUAUGUGCCUAAACACUGCAAGUUUGGGGAUGCUAGAGACUGCAGAUACAGAGGCCUGUGGAACCCAGGAGACCCCAGUGGAAGGCAGAUUCUUCUACUUCUUAUAUACCUUAGUUGUGUGGAACCUAACUCUUCUGAGUAUUUGUUUAUCAAUAAAUAAUAAACAUUUUAUUUUUA